rnacentral:misc_RNA from 1 species
UGAAAGAAUCGAGAAGCAGUUACGUGUCUCGUAUUUCCCGUUUCUGGAAUAUUUAAUUGAAAGAUUGAUCUUGUCUAUUUUCUGGAAUCGUCGGCUUUUAUUUGCUUCACUGGUUAAUUUGUCGAAAGAAGGUGUUUGACUUGUCCGUUUGUUUCACUGUUCAAACCAGACAAAGGAAAAGAUUUAGUCUCAAUUCCAGCAAUGGAUGCCGAAGAAUUCUGUGUGCGGUGGAAUAACCAUCACCAUGUUUUAGUUAGUGUCCUUGACAAAUUAUUGGAGAAGGAAUCUAUGUGUGAUGUGACUCUUUCCGCUGACCAUCAAUUUGUUAGAGUUCACCGACUAGUAUUGUGUGCUUGCAGCAACUACUUUGAGGAAAUGCUGAGCAAGCAAGUCGACAAACAGGCAUUCAUAUUCUUAAAAGAUGUCAGUUUCCCAAAUCUCAGGGCACUGGUUGAUUACAUGUAUAAAGGAGAAGUAAAUGUUGCCCAGGAACAACUUGUUAGUUUUUUGCAAACAGCUGAAGCCCUUGAUAUCAAAGGAUUGGCAUACAAAGAAGGUGACCAGUCUAAAUUCAAAUCUGGUCAAAAUGCAAGGACUAAUGCUGCCAAGAGAACAUUAAGUGAAUCAACAUCAACUCCGUCAGUUGUAUCGACUCCCAGCAAUUCUCAACGACCCGAAAAUGACAACAUUUCACACACUCCUUCUCAGAACCAAUCAUCCUCUAGACCAAAACCGCCUCCUCCCAUGAAAGCUCAUGUGGUACCAUCGGAAUCUCCUACACAUCCAGCGAACACAGACUUAGAUGACCACUUUGUUGUAGUCGAUACGAAAAUGGAAUCGGAAUUAGAAUCUGACCACAUAGAAGACCAAAUAGAUAAUAACGGACCAGAAUCAUCACGGGACUGUGACGACGACUGGAGCACAUCUGACAACGGCAUGAUAUCCAUUGUACCCAACUCGACCCGCGAUAUUACCUUUGGCCCCUCUACAUCAGACACGCGAAUGGGAGACAAUGUUGCCGGACCCUCAGGAACACAACCCAAGGCUAACAAUUCAUCUAGCGGCGCAGCAUCUCGAGAACUAAGAGCGAAAAGAAAUGAAGAAACACUGGGAGCGAGGGAAUUGAGAUUGCGUGCUGUUAGGGAACGUUACGCCGCAAGGAAACGUAAUAAAACCCAAGAAGAAAAUAUCCUAUAUCGGGCUGAACAGGCUAAACGACAACGUAAAGCACGUCAACAGGAAACGCCCGAAAAGAGAGAAGAAAGACGCAGAAAAAAUAGAGAAUACUAUCAGAUUCGACGUGCAGCAGAAGAAGCCGAAGCUGAUCUUGCGAGAAGACGCGUAGAAGAAAUGCAUCAAGGAAUUCGUCUUACUGAAGAAAAACAGGAGGUGGCGGGAUUAAUCGUAUUUCUGGCCUCUACAUCAGACACGCGAAUGGGAGACAAUAUUGCCGGACCCUCAGGAACACAACCCUAGGCUAACAAUUCAUCUAGCGUCGCUGCAUCUCGAGGUAGGCAUUCCUCUUCAAUAUUAGUUCUCUACUUAGUGUUGUUAUUAGUCUUUGCCCGUUUCCAGGGGAAUGCAUCCGGACAGAAGAGAAGAAGCAAUGGAGCGAACCAUGGCAUACCAACGGGAGGCGCCUAAAAU